rnacentral:lncRNA from 1 species
UCAUCUUUUUUCCCCCAGCUAUGAGUAGGGAUAGCAGAACCACGAGGGAUAAGGGGUACUUUCCUCCUGGAAGGAUGAAGAUGUCUGCACACCAUCCUGUGUUGUGUAACUGGACCUGUUUCUAUAUCACACAAGUAACUGGCCCAGAGAUCCUCUGUCAGUUCCCAAAGACUACCCCUUGCAAAGGAAGCCAGAAACCCAAAGCCAGUGUUCUUGCUCCCAACUUCAAGGCUUUUCAAGUGCUCAUCUUCCAGAGAGGGAAUGUCUCAUAGUGAUGAGAGGGAUUUCUGUGCUUCCUGAUGCUUUUCCUGAUAACCCCAAGACUGGCUAUGUCCCUUCAUUUCUGACUCUACUCAAAUGCUGCGCUCCACAGAAGUGGCCUGCCCUCCAAGAGACCCUCACUUUGUUUUAGUUGUGCCUAUUAAUUGCUGCCUAUGCCUGAAGUGUUGCUGUGGACCAAGUCUGCUUUCGGCUUCCCUUUGAUAAUUUCACCUCUGCAGCAGAGACGCUUAGAUGUUGUGUUGACUGCUGUUUGUCGCACACCUAGAACAGCUGCCCAUGCCAUAGAGAUUCAUUCAGUACUGUCGGGGUGAAGGAAUGAAUGGGUAGAAAGAAGUCCAAGAGAGACUUGUGUGAAGGCCAUUGUCACUGUUGCUGUGAAAGUCCUCUGUUCUCCUCCCUGGGGAAUGACAGAAAAGCAGAGCUGACUGGGCUCCAACCCCGGUGAGGAAGCAGAGACUCACCUCUGACUGGGGAGGCUGCCUGGGACCAAUGGGCAUUUUACCCCCUCACCUCUGAUUAUUGAGCUGGGACCUUAAUUUACUGGGUCCAUCCCUGAGUUAGUUUCUCAAGCCUUCCUUGUGACAUAAAAUAUAUUUUCCAAACCAGCAAGCCCUAGGAACCAGGUGGGCCUUGAGUUUGGAUGUGGACAUGCUGGGGAGUCUCUGAAGGUUCGGAACGUGAUGCUCAGAUCCAAAAUUAGCGUGUUUGUGCUGUACUUUCUGUUCCUUUUCCUUUCCUUUCUUUGAAAGAAGCCUGGAGCUCAGGCUAGACCGGCUGCCCAGCACAGAGAUGACAACACACGCCACCAGGUUCUGCUUUGUUUCCACGUAGGAAUCUGGCCCAGACCCACACGCUAGGGUAGUCAGCACUUAACCAACUGAGCUGUCUCUCCAGCUCCAAGGUUUCCUAGGACACACUUCCCCGUGGUGGAAGCCCUCAUGUGAGGCUGGCGAAUCUGCUCAUCAUGCAACUGGGCGAGCAGCAGCACCCAAGGCUUCGUGGACAACACAGAGAUGCUUUAGGACUGAGGCUAGUAUCCUGGACAUACUGGGAGGGAUUCUGCCAGAAUGGAUUCCAGUACAGGAAGAACGCUUGCUGUUUCUCCAGGAAGUUCCUGCUCCACCACAGAAAAGAGAAACAAAUGGCUUCCAAUUCAGUUAAAUUGGAGGCAGCUUUCACCCUCCUGUUUCAGGAAGGUCUGUGUUGUCUGGGCCCUGUGGCCAUGGAAUGUCAACAGCCUCACCUUACCAGCAGGACACUGGGGGACUGUAAAGAGCUCACUGUGAUCAAAUUCUUCUGUCCCAGGUUUAUCUAAUUAAGUAGAUUCUUUUCAUUUUAACCAGAGCUACAUCAAACUGUAGGUGUCCCGUGUGUAGAUCAACCUGUGAGAAGAUCAGUUCCAGGAUAAGGAAUGGGUGCUCGAAUUGCCCUGAUGAACAAGGUUCCCAUUACAGUGGCACACAGAGGCAAAUCCUGCUAAUCCCAGCUCUGACUGUUUCCUCGGGAUUUGAAUAGUGGCCUGGAAUAUGCUCUUCUGCAUGCAGUUUCUGCACACCGAAGACACAGAGCAGCCAGGAGGCAGCUCUGUUCUCUGAAAAAUAUCCAUUCAGUUUUACAUUGUUGAGUAGCCACAUGCUAGAUACCAGGUAUCAACUCAGCCUCAGGCUGGCCAGAAAGAGAUGUAUGGACAGACAGUGGGACCGGUCCAAGAGAGGAAUGCUCCAGUCUGUUGGGUACCAACAUGUAUAACUCUCGUCCAAGUGUCUUCCUACUGAACCCUGGUGGCAAGGUCAUAUGCAACUGAACAUUAAGCAGUCUCUGUUCAGAUUCUAGAGCCCACUCUCUUCCUGGCUCUACUGAUGCUUGUGAUGUUUGUGAUGCAGGAUGUGUGACCACCAUGCUGACAGCUAGACCAUGACAUGUUCUGAGGAGAUGAGCAGAUGUCUAUUCAUCUCAGAUCACUACCAGUAAACCAAAGAAAUGACUCC